rnacentral:rRNA from 1 species
UGGCGGACGGGUGAGUAACGCGUGGGAAUCUGCCCUUUGGUUCGGAAUAACUCAGGGAAACUUGAGCUAAUACCGGAUAAUGACUUCGGUCCAAAGAUUUAUCGCCAAAGGAUGAGCCCGCGUAAGAUUAGCUAGUUGGUGAGGUAAAGGCUCACCAAGGCGACGAUCAUUAGCUGGUCUGAGAGGAUGAUCAGCCAGACUGGGACUGAGACACGGCCCAGACCCCUACGGGGGGCAGCAAUUAGGAAUCUUUCACAAUGGGGGCAACCCUGAUGGAGCAACGCCGCGUGCAGGAUGAAGGCCUUCGGGUUGUAAACUGCUUUUCUCUGCGAAGAUUAUGACGGUAACAGAGGAAUAAGGGUCUGCUAACUACGUGCCAGCAGCCGCGGUAAU